rnacentral:rRNA from 1 species
GAUGAACGCUGGCGGCGUGCCUAAUACAUGCAGGUCGAGCGAACGGACGAGAAGCUUGCUUCUCUGAUGUUAGCGGCGGACGGGUGAGUAACACGUGGAUAACCUACCUAUAAGACUGGGAUAACUUCGGGAAACCGGAGCUAAUACCGGAUGAUAUUUUGAACCGCAUGGUUCAAAAGUGAAAGACGGUCUUGCUGUCACUUAUAGAUGGAUCCGCGCUGCAUUAGCUAGUUGGUAAGGUAACGGCUUACCAAGGCAACGAUGCAUAGCCGACCUGAGAGGGUGAUCGGCCACACUGGAACUGAGACACGGUCCAGACUCCUACGGGAGGCAGCAGUAGGGAAUCUUCCGCAAUGGGCGAAAGCCUGACGGAGCAACGCCGCGUGAGUGAUGAAGGUCUUCGGAUCGUAAAACUCUGUUAUUAGGGAAGAACAUAUGUGUAAGUAACUGUGCACAUAGUGACGGUACCUAAUCAGAAAGCCACGGCUAACUACGUG